AACAGGGGAGCCUGUACUGACAGGCUGAGAGGAAAUUAUGAAUUUCGACCCUUUGACCUGAUACGGAUAAUGCCGUCGUAGGAAAUUAUACUU
rnacentral:ncRNA from 1 species